rnacentral:rRNA from 1 species
UACGUAGGGUCCGAGCGUUUGUCCGGAAUUAUUGGGCGUAAAGGGCGCGUAGGCGGCUUUGCAAGUGACGGGUGAAAUCCCUCGGCUUAACCGAGGAACUGCCUGUCAAACUGCAUGGCUUGAGACCGGGAGAGGUGAGUGGAAUUCCCGUGUGAGCGGUAGAAAUGCGCGAUAGUGGGAGGAACACCAGUGCCGAAGGCGGCUCGCUGGGCCACACCUGACGCUGAGACGCGAAAGCUAGGGGAGCGAACAGG